rnacentral:rRNA from 1 species
AAACGGGUGAGUAUAAUGUAGGAAUCUACCUUUUGGUUUGGAAUAACACGGGGAAACUUGUGCUAAUACCGAAUAAGCCUUUACAGGGAAAGUUUUAACGCCGAAAGAUGAGCCUGCACUUGAUUAGCUAGUUGGUAAGGUAAAAGCUUACCAAGGCAACGAUCAAUAGCUGUUCUUAGAGGAAGACCAGCCACAUUGGGACUGAGACACGGCCCAGACUCCUACGGGAGGCAGCAGUGGGGAAUCUUGCACAAUGGGGGAAACCCUGAUGCAGCGAUGCCGCGUGAGUGAAGAAGGCCCUUGGGUUGUAAAACUCUUUCGUCGGGGAAGAAAAUGACUGUACCCGAAUAAGAAGGUCCGGCUAACUUCGUGCCAGCAGCCGCGGUAAUACGAAGGGACCUAGCGUAGUUCGGAAUUACUGGGCUUAAAGAGCUCGUAGGUGGUUAAAAAAGUUGAUGGUGAAAUCCCAAGGCUCAACCUUGGAACUGCCAUCAAAACUUUUUAGCUAGAGUGUGAUAGAGGUAAGU